rnacentral:lncRNA from 1 species
GCGAGCCUGCCAGGAGGCGGCCACGCAGGCUGUCCGCGACUACGCCCACGGUCUCACUACGGGGGCGGGGCCCUGAAAAAAGGGGUGUGUCUCCCGCCUGCGCGCUGGGGGCGGAGCCGUGGGGGCCGAGCGGUCCCGCGCCCGGCGGCCUGACCUCCCAGAACGCCGGGUCCCGUGACGUCACCUCGCCGUGACGCGCACGCUGUAGGAAAACUGUUCAACGAGAGCAGGUUGAUGGUUAUUUGUGUCAGAUAUCUCUCAGCAGAGCAGGAGUGAUGAAAAAACCAAAAUCAAAAACGAGGGAGUGCGGUGAAUAUCAUUUGUUUUCCUUCUACCAGACUCAGGAUUAUAUGAUAUUUGGGACCCAGAUUGCUUCAAGGAUUAUUUUUAUAUGUAGUUAAAAAGGUAAUAUGUUAUUUAUGGAAAUACUAUAAUGCAUUAAACAUUAUGCUGAAAUCUGUGUUACUUUUAAGUCUAUUUUUCUCUCUUGUGGGGGUGUCAUAUCACAUGCCUGCCAAAAUUAGUCUUGAUGGAUCUGAAUUAUAUAUCUAAACGUUUGUUGUUUUUGCUGUUGUUAGAG